AUACUUACCAAGGUCCCUCAACGGAUUGUACUUUACUUGAUCAACAGCCUAGAAUCACCAUACAUAAGUAUAAUCAGAUUUAAUUGACGAAAAUGAAUUAAACCCUAGGAGAACUACUAACAGUGGCCGUUUUAGGUAAUUACCAACACAAGCUCAUUCUUUGGUAUUUGGCGAACCACCACUUCAACUCCCGGCAUAGGUGUGGGCGAUUUACUUUCCAAAAUGUAUACACAUAUAUACGUAUUAGCAUCCAUACUCACACAAAACUCCACAAUGAAAAGGAAAUGAAAGGUCACCUGAUUCAGUUUGGUGCUAUGAAGGCCAAGUAGUUUCACUUUUUCCCGAUUCUCACUACCAAAGACGAAUUUUGAUUUUUUUGAGAAGACCCUCACUUACCGUGGUGAGGGGAGUGCUUUAGCUCCUGAAACCUGCACACACACACACACACACAUAAAUACCCAUUUCGUCGAGAACACACAUCGAAAAAGGAAAAUAAACACAUCUGGUUUGGGUGUGGUGCUCUAAAAACUCGAACAACAUCGAGUUUGACUCCUAGCUUCCAGAGGAUGGUCUCUUUGGUUCCUCGAGAGCACUCCUCAUUUGCUUCGAAGAUUAGGUGAUUGGUUUCACACCUACAUGCUGGUUACUAUGAAAUAGGAAAAAGGAAUCUCAUAAAAGAAAUGGGAAGAAUGAAACUUACAAGUUUCUGAGCAACGACGUCAUGUGUAACAAUAUGUUUCUCAACCGCAAUUCCCUUCUCUUCCCUUCUCUUCAGCUUUUUGCCUCUACGACACCUCCUCUUUUCCCUUUUUGGCUGCGUUUCCUUCUCCCAUUCUAGUUUCCUUGCUCGUCUCUCUAUCACGCGAUGUUCUCUUCUCCUUCUCAGCCUGACUCCUCCUCAAUCUAAGCAUCUUCUCUCACCCAAUCGACUCCUCUCCUCCUCUUUUAUUUUGGCUCUCAUUUGCUGAAUGAAGGAGAAAACCCUAAUUAUUUCUUUAAAUACCCAUAU
rnacentral:lncRNA from 1 species